rnacentral:rRNA from 1 species
AGUGAACGCUGGCGGUAGGCCUAACACAUGCAAGUCGAACGGCAGCACAGUAAGAGCUUGCUCUUAUGGGUGGCGAGUGGCGGACGGGUGAGGAAUACAUCGGAAUCUACUUUUUCGUGUGGGAUAACGUAGGGAAACUUACGCUAAUACCGCAUACGACCUACGGGUGAAAGCAGGGGACCUUCGGGCCUUGCGCGAUUGAAUGAGCCGAUGUCGGAUUAGCUAGUUGGCGGGGUAAAGGCCCACCAAGGCGACGAUCCGUAGCUGGUCUGAGAGGAUGAUCAGCCACACGGGAACGGAGACACGGGCCAGACUCCUACGGGAGGCAGCAGUGGGGAAUAUUGGACAAUGGGCGCAAGCCUGAUCCAGCCAUACCGCGUGGGUGAAGAAGGCCUUCGGGUUGUAAAGCCCUUUUGUUGGGAAAGAAAUCCAGCCGGCUAAUACCUGGUUGGGAUGACGGUACCCAAAGAAUAAGCCCCGGCUAACUUCGUGCCAGCCGCCGCGGUAACAC